CGAUCGAGUGUGAAGUUUUUUUUGUGAUCUCAAUGAAAAAAGAUUUUUUUGAACUCACGCUGUACACAACAAGCUCUCUGAUCUGCAUGUCUUUUUCGGUGGAGGUGAUUUUUGUUGUUGUUAUUGUUGUGGCUGGCGACGAGAAGGCUCUCAUUUACGCUAGGUAUCUCAUAGACAGAAUGAGCCUGGUUUUUACGCCAAGCUGAUGUUUUCAGCAGCAGUCCGCUGUGGAGAAAAUUCAAGCAGUCUUAGGGGCCCGAAGUUUUCGCUGCUUCUUACCGGAUCGACAGUGGGAAAGAAGGGUGGCAGCGUGCAGUACCUUGUGAAAUGGAGAGACUUUAUCCUCUAUGAACUUGGGAGUAUGAAGAUAUCAGAUAUCAGUGACGAUCUAUCAGGUGAUUUCAUUUCAUUUUGGGUGAAUUUAUUGAAUGUAUUCUUGCAUGAAUUUGAAAAUCUCCCUUUUGUUUGCUGUAGAUAUUUUGAUGGUUCGGGGAAUGUUGGGCCCUUUCUCAGAUGACGAAUGUCACAGUUGAGGCUGCUGAUGGAGCUUGCACUGCUGUGCAGUGAAAAAUAGAAGUGAAAUAGUCACAAAAGGCACAAUGGAGUUUUAUGUGUAAUAGUGCUCCACAUUAUUGUGUCGAGCCCUCUCCGCUGGCAGAAGGAAGUUUUCCUCCUUGAAAUGAAAUAGUCUAUUUCUGACUUUCGAAUCAGAAACUGGACAAAGGGGGUUGGGACCGAAGAAUUUCCCUGUGAAGUUCUUUCCUCCAGGUUGGGAUGCUUCCAUGAACGUACAUGGACAAGGUCCACGGGCUCACUACCUGGUUACCAUCAAGCCUAUGAUUCGCCGUAGUCUAUGUACGUUCCUGCAGGACUCCUCUGGAUCUAUGACAGGAGGGGAUCGUGCUGCCCGGCAGUUUGUCUCUUCCACAGAAAAGGGCAUUGAUUAACCAUGAGCUUACCGCUGAGCACAACGAAAGCAUUGUAGCAUGAAACUAAUUUGUCUGAAUACAAAUCUGCACAAUGGCACAGACGGCUAAUGGAGGUAAAGCAUAGCAUCACCAGCAUUGUAUUCCUGGAAGCAGUGCAAGUUAUAGAUUUAGGUAUCAAUAUUUAUCUAAGCUUUAGCGAAGUCCGGACGCAGUACAUUACUAGUGUGAAAGAUAGAAGAAAAAGCAAUGAUAUCCGUAUAUACCCGGAAAGAGAGGUGAGAGUGGGUGGGAGUAAGUGAAAGCACUUGUACAAGCUAAACAUCUGUGCAACCGGAAAGAGCAGAGAAAAGGCUAAAGCAAUUACACAGGCCAUGCGUGCGAGGUAAUUUAGCAGUGAGACCCAAACAUUCUUGUAAACCAGAAUGCAGCUUCAGCACACAUUUUCUAUUUCUUCAUGUUACGCUGCUGUUGCCGUUUCCCAACGAUAUGAUGAGGCUCUCCGUUAUGCUUCUGCUGGUUUUCCUGUGCAGGUAUGUGCUGCCGUAGCUCAGAGAAAUCUUUGGCCAGGGUAGCCAAGAUGGCAUCACCCACAUCCUCCUCUCCUUCAGGUUCACUUGUAGGUUUGGCAUUCAUGCUUGACAUCUCCUUCAGUACUGUGUAGGUCUUCUCCUAUUGGUUUUUGUCUGCCCAUACCAUUCGCACUGCUCAGUGAUGUCGGCGACAGUCGCCUUCAGCUCACCAUUUUCCAUUUUUUCUUUACUUUUUGGAUACGCUGUGUGUCCUUGAGGUAGCAUUUGAGGCUGACCAGUUCUUCUACCUUUGUUUUGCAAACAUUCUUGUCUAGUGUUCAGUGAUCGAACCCAGUCAACGUUGAAGCACCCUUGUUAUUUCUUUCCGUUUCUUUUUAUUCUUGUACACCGCUGCCUACAACCGUGCAUUUUAAUAGGUUUGCCGAGUUUUCCGCAUCCGUAGGAACGCCACCACCCUUCAAGGAUCGUGUGUUUUAAUAUUAUAGCAGUGUAUUUUGGUAUUUGCUUUGACCAUCAGUCCUUGGCUGAUGCUGGUCAUACCUUCAACAUGUUGACGCGUUUUUCAAGGCAUUCAAUAUACGUAGGCCGCAAGAUUCUAUCUUUUCAUACCGAAUACCGAUGGCUAGUGCUUCCCCACUAGCUGCGCAAGUGUCACAUCUGGCUGCGGCCAACUACCCUUUAA